UUCGCCCGCGCCACGCCCAAUCCACGGGAUCCCCGGGCGUACGCCUACGUGCUUGUUGCUUUACCUAAUAUAAUUGCGAGAACUUCAGUUUCGAUAGUCCGUUCUUGAGGGUAAAUUAUGAUGAGGAGAAGACCGAAUACUGUGCUAUAAAAGUGAAAUUAAUGGAUACUAAUAUAUUUCAACAUGAGCCAUUCUAACCGUGAAAGCAUAUUAUGCCCUAGAAUAAUUAAUCGGAAGAUGUUAUUCAAUUAAAUUUUCAGGAUUAGUAAUGUUAAUUUCGAUUGACUUUUCCACCCAACCAUUGCCUUAGGUGGUAGGCCAAAGCUACCUGCCACUGGUGGAUUAGUUAAAGCUGGGCUUCUUGUUAUCCACAAUUGAUAUUAUAAUAUAAAAAUAGGUAGCAUAUAUAUAACUUCCCACGUUAAAUCACAUUUAAGAAUUUUCGAGCACUAGGACAUAAAAGUAUCAAGAUUUUAAUGCUACGAGAGAGUAAUUAAUGGUAAGAAUCAUGUGAUGGAGGCAACGUCUAAAACACUAAAUAAUAGAAAGAACUGAAGGCAGACAGAUAGUUACAAAGCAAGGCAAUUCAUUGCUAUAGAUGUGGAUCUUUUCCCUGACCGAGAACAUGAUAACUUGAAUUUUUUUUAAAAAAUCUAAACUGGAUGUUCCAUGUCAACAGUGAAAAGCAAUAGCAAAGUUUUCCAAAAGAAUUCUUGAAUUGUCCACUUUACAACUGUAGGGCAAUUAUGUUUCUCCAUCUUCUAACAGUAUUUUUUUUUUAUAAAGGCUCUUCUAACAGUAUUAUUUUCCGUCACGAUAUGUACCAUCAGAUAAAAUGAAGACUAGACUUCUGAUUAUCCUUUCACAUAAGUGGCAACCCUGCAUCCACGAAUAAGUGAGCGGCUAAUAUGCAACCCUUGACAGCGAUAGUGUUAAAUAUAUCUUUGUUGAGAUUUUGCUAAUAUUUUAGCAACCUACAAAUGCUUUUGGUUUUUGUUGCUCAUUAAUCACAUGACAUGACUGCCUAACAACCUAGUAAUGAAUUGCACAUUUCUAGAAUAGUCUUUAUAUUUAUGCGCGCAGUUCUUUUGAAGACCGGAGUCGAUUGUGAUAUGUAUCCAACCGCAUUAUAUAUGGAUAGACCAAAACAUUGAAAAUGCAAAUGAUAUACAGGGACAUGAAUUAUGCAAGUGAUAAAUAUAGAAAAUGAUAUCCCGCAAACCUUUAUCAUUUCCCCUCCAAUCAAUGUAAAAUGCAUGGUUGAAAACUAGCAAAUAGCGAAUGAUAGCAAUAGACUACCAACAUAAGAAUGGAUAUUUGCGUUCUCAAGUAACAAAUUUUUUUGCUAAUAGAUCCAUGUUGUUUCACGUUAAGAAUAUUUAUUUUUUGCGAAAGAUAAUGUAAAUACUUUUGGGUACACAAAAUUGCAUUGUCAGCAGUCUGCUGUACUAUAUAUAUUUUCCCUUAACUAUUUGAGACAUUUUUACUUUUUCUCCCUGAAAUUUAAUUUCAUUUAAUAAACAAUUUAGAGGUUGAGAUUACCUUUGUGGUCAAUUAACUGACAUUUCAGCUUUAAGCCAAGCCAACCUGGAGAUGACAGUGAACUCUGUCAAGUCAAGAAAGGAUUAACUUUACUUUGCACUCCCCAUGACUCCAAUCCUAUAAUACUCUUCCAAAGUUAUAUAAAUAUACAAGAAAUUCUACCAUCGUUACAGCAGGGACGCUUUCCUGCCCAACUUUGAUUAGUAUUAGUGGCAUGACAAAGCAAGUAGCGGCCAGAUUAUAAUUAACGAACCGGAAUGGAAUGACGAAAGACGCCUUUUCGCAAACCAGGACAAGAUUGGCAAGGAGCACCCUCGUUCAUACCGGAAUAUUACUUUCAAGGACAGGUAGCCAGCUAGUGCUAAAUACUUUUCAAGAUGCGCCAAGAGGAGACCAAAAGAGAUGCCAUCCACAAGCUCCAAACUCCCCCUGCAGGCCACAGGAUUCCAAAUGAGUAUGACAAAUAGGAUAGAUAAGCUACCACCAUGCAUUUCUGUUAUUAUGAAAGCGUGUUUCUUUGUAAUGAGCUCAUAUGUAUGCAUAACCCUUUUUAUAAUUUUGACACAUGAAUUCUGUAGAACAUCUCCAGAGAAAAAAAGAAUAAAAGAAACUAUCGAAAUUUCUAUGCAUAGUAGACACGUAUUAAAGUUGGGGAUGACUGUAAUUACCAUCAAGUGUUAACAAAACAUGUUAUGUACUAAUUAGCUAGCACUACUGUGCGAUAUGUGUGAUUGUGUGAAUGUACACAUCUUGGGUGUCCAUGGUCAGUACUCAUGGGGGUAUUAAUUAUACUUCUAGUUAAUUAUACGUUCAGUAACAAAAUAUGGUAGAUUAUGAAUUUGCAUACUCGACGUGGGAGGAUGCCAGCGAAGGUGUGCCGUUUAAUUGGCUUUGAAGAGCUGACCACCACCUUGGCUUAGGUUAGUCCGGCGGCUAGGUAGUCAUUAACGGUGAUUGUUAUAUAUCCAUAUCGAAGAUAUAUAGGGAGAGAUAUAGAGAUAGGUAAUCAUUAUUGCGAAAUUUCCUUCUGGAAAUCAUGGGUUGGGUCUAUGUUCUUAUGUGUUUUCAAAGGGUCGGUUGAUUUUCUCUAUUUUUGAAGAUGUGUAUCAAGAUAUACUCAUCGUAUUUUAGGCAUGUACAUAUAUACAAAAAUAUAAAAGUCGGCACCGGAAAAAAAAAGACAGUGCGAAGAAUAUAUGCUUUUAAAAAAAUCUUUACAUGUACACUUAUACUUUUUUGCCUAAACCCUUUUAAGAAAGUGGAUUUUAUGAGCAUAGGAGCAGCUGCUCACCCUAUGACGUGUCACACUCUUAGUCAUCGAAUCGGCACUAGAGGGUUGAGAUUGAACCUUCUGGAUUGAGGUGACACGGCCCAAUCUAAGCCCUCCGAUGCCGAUCCGAUGAUUGAGAGUUCGGGUGGGCAGCUGCCCCUAUGUUCACAAAGUAUUUAACCACCCUUUUAAAUUUGAUCUGAUUUCACCAAAUGCAAAUUUCGCCGCAGCAAGGGAGAUCAACAUAUAUUGGACCACCAAAGCUCUCUCUCGUUUCAAAUCGGGUUCUUACAAAGAAGGUGGUUGAACAAGCACGGCCCAUGUUUGUUUUAAACAGAGGAUGGAGUUUAGCCGUCGACUCCACAAAACGACACCAGUUCCCUUUUGUCUUCCUUCAGAUUUCUUAGGCCCGCUUCGUGCUAUUAUUGUAAAUUUGGAAAAUUUUUACUUGUGUGGAUGAAAUGAAGAGUAGUCACACUUUUUUCCUGCGGGUACAAGAGAAGUCACACUCCCUCCCUUCCAAAUUUUCUAGACGUAUAUAUGCAUAAUAAUAUUUAUGCGGAUCGAGUAUAUAGUAUAUGUGUAUACAUAAUAAAUAGAAAAAGGAAAAAAAGAAGAGGGGGAAAAAAUUCUAUUGACCUCCUUCCCUGGGCGCGCGGGUAACUAGGGGAGAAAUGCGGCGACGACGAGUAGUAGGAGACGAAGAUUCUAUU
rnacentral:lncRNA from 1 species